GGCACGUUUUCCGCAACUUUGUUUUAAAAAGACUUUUAAAAUCGGCCUCGGGGCGUGACACCACCUUUCCCAUCCGAUGUGGGACUAUUGGGGUGUCACAGACUCCUCCCGUUAAGGCCCUGACGUCCUCGUCAGUCCAAUCACACACACAGCCCAAGAUCACCAGGCGAUGUGAGACUCGUCUCGCUAGCCCGUCAUCCAGACCCUGGCUCAGCCGAGACUCGCCACACAUGUCCAGCUGGUGAACCGGCUCUGAUACCAAAUGUAACGACCCAGCCCACUAGCAACAAUAACUCGUUGGGCCCAGCCAAUAGCCCAAAAUGCUUAAGCCCAGUUAUUAUUACUAGUGUUUAAGUCUCUUAUAAAUCCAAUGACAACCCCUUUCCCAUCCGAUGUGGGACUAUUGGGGUGUCACAGAUGCAGGUUAAGGAACUUAUUUCAAAAUGCAUUAUAACUAAAAGGUUUUUGAUACAUUUUCCUCUAUGAAAAUGUUAAGGAGAGAGUGAGCUCUAUGUUGGCACUAAGGAUUUUCUCAAAAGAUGUAAUGCCUAUUUUAAGAUUUAACUGUUAAGCAAAUGUUAAAAAGUUGAAGAAGGCCGGUCUAG
rnacentral:lncRNA from 1 species